GGCGGGGUGACCCACAGCACAAUAAUGUAAUUUAUUCAACGAUUAGGGUGGGGUGUCGUUUAAUUGUUGCAAGUGACCUAAUUCCGCUUCGGUUGAACCAAUUUUGUUUGCCUAGACGAUCACUGCUUCCUCCUGCUAUAAGUACACUCCCCUCCGAUUUCGAUUCAAUUUUUCAGGUUUUUUCCCCAAUGUUGGGUUCGUAGACUGCUUUAAGAUCUUCCGUCUGCUUUCGGUGGUGGCGUGCGAUUGUAGCGUUGGGGGUUUCGGUAAUUAGGGCGCCGCCUCGCCGAUAGCGUCGACGCCUCCGCCUCCGGCGGAGUGGGAAGGCGACAGUUCUUCGAACACUGUAAUUCGCAAGGAUGUGCUCAAUGCGUCACCGAGGCCAUUAAGUUUUACAGAUUCUGAUACUGUGAGUAGCUUUGCAUUCUGUGUUCUUAAUUUUUCACUUUCAUUUGGAAUUUACUGUAAACAAAUGGUAAUUGUGUGAAACUACAGCGGGUAAAUGGUGAAAAAGCUCUCAAUUAUAUCAGAGCUUUCAUUGAAUUUUGUCGAAGAUUUUCGAGCAGUAGCUUUCUUCUUGGUGUUCUUAUGAAUAUUUACAUCUUUAAGCGUUGCUGCUAGAAAUUUGCUUAACUAAAGGUAACUCUACUUGGCGCACGCCGAACAUUUGAACAUUAUCUGCGAUAGGACAUCCGGCAGCUGGAACGAACAUGUCUUAGAGUCAAGUGGUGUUUUUAAUUCAAAUGUCUUGACAACACACAAGUCGUCAGUCGAACUGAUGGAAGAAAUUGCCGUGCUCGAGGUUGAAAUCAUGCAUUUGGAACAGUAUCUUUUAUCUCUUUACCGAACUGCUUUCAUGCGAUAUCUUCCGACGACACGACUAAGGACCGCCCAAGAAAUGGAUGCACUGUCCUAUCAAGCUUCAUCCGGCCCCCAUUCUCCGAAAUCGAAAUCAGCAACUCCAAGAGAUAGCAAAAGUCCUAUGGAUCUUGUUCUUGUUUCUGUUCCACUGUCGUCACCCGUAAAGAAGCAGCCGGCAGGUUUAACAUGUUUAGAAGCAUAAGUAAGAAGCUUUUUGGGUUUGGCAGGAUAUUACCGAAGAUUCGUUCUUGAUUUUUCGAAGGUUGCAGAGCCAUUAACUAAUUUGCUGAAGAAAAACACAAUGAUUAAUUGGGAUCGUGAGUGUGAGUCCUCUUUCUUAGAAUUGAAACAUCGAUUAACUUCAGCACCAGUCAUGGCUUUACCAAUAGAGGGUGAGGAUUUUGAAGUUUAUAGUGAUGCUUCGAAAAGGGGAUUGGGAUGCGUCUUAAUGCAGAAUCAAAGAGUUAUUGCUUAUGCGUCACGACAACUAAAACCUCACUAAGAGAAUUAUCCUACACAUGACUUGGAGAUGGCAGCAUGAUCGAAUUAUUUUUGGAGAGUUUUUAAAAUAUCUUUUAAGAUACAAAAAAAUGAUAUAUGAAAAUAGUGUCGUGCGUGUUCGUGUAGUAACUCCAAAAAGUUCGUCAAAAAUAAAAAAUCUCUUUAACCGGUGAGUGUCCGGGUCGAACUCAGGGAAUAUGCGAAUAUCCUAUAUUUAAUUAGAAAAAGUGCAAUGAGUUAAUGCAAUCGAAGAAACUGAAAAGAUCAAUUGCAGGAAUUAAAUCUAACUAAAAAGCGAUAAAAUAUACGUAUCUCGAAAAGGAUGAAGCGAGGCGUUUGUGUCUGACUUUUGCGUUCCUUAAUGGCUAGAUUUCCAUGGAUGAAAUGAGCGGGAUGACGAUAGCGUGAUAGCGAAAAAUAUAUGUAUAAUUGCGGGGCGGCUCGGAGAAAUGAAUGUGAUCGCAUUUGCUCGCUUAAGCUGAUUAUCGACUCGGUUGGUACUUGAUCUUGGGGGAUUUACAACGAGGCUUCAGCGACACCCGGCGAAGAACAUUAUAAGCAAGAAACCCUACUGUCACUAGGAAUCUCUGUGACCCAAUAGACCCCCGCCUAUGCCCCAUGAAUUAUUCUUCCAACCGUUCCGCUAGUGGCUCUACCCCUUUUAUUACCUCUCUUUAAUCAAAAUCGAAUUCAGAACAGCAACUAAGCAGGUCGACAAGGCUCCCGCGUACUUAGCUACGUUGAACUACCCGGAAACCGCUUUUGGCGCAUAACAGGGCUGAAAUAGUCGAUUCUUCUGUCGCCCUUCCGCAACCUUGUCGAAAUCCAACUUGAACAAUUCAAAUCGAACAUGGAAUUUUUGGGUGAAGGUGAGGUGGAGAAAUAUGAUAGGAAUUUUACUAGCUAAAAUACUAUGCUGAAAUUAAAAGAAAAAGGGGGAGAAAAUCAGUUUGCUCGCGACACAAAACCGAAAAUCUCGUAUUAUUAAACUAGAUAAAAAUACGGAAGAAAAGAAAAUGGAGAAAAUGGAAUGUAUAUUAUUGUGUAUAUAUGGUGUAUAUGUAUAUAUAUAUCUACGGUGUAUCUAUAUCUAUCUAUGGUCUAUAUAUAUAUAUAUGG